AUUGAACGCUGGCGGCAGGCCUAACACAUGCAAGUCGAGCGGGGUUUUCGGACCUAGCGGCGGACGGGUGAGUAAUGCGUAGGAAGCUGCCCGAUAGAGGGGGAUACCAGUUGGAAACGACUGUUAAUACCGCAUAAUGUCUACGGACCAAAGUGUGGGACCUUCGGGCCACAUGCUAUCGGAUGCGCCUACGUGGGAUUAGCUAGUUGGUGAGGUAAUGGCUCACCAAGGCGCCGAUCUCUAGGUGGUUUGAGAGGAUGAUCAGCCACACUGGAACUGAGACACGGUCCAGACUCCUACGGGAGGCAGCAGUGGGGAAUAUUGGACAAUGGGCGCAAGCCUGAUCCAGCCAUGCCGCGUGUGUGAAGAAGGCCUUCGGGUUGUAAAGCACUUUCAGCGAGGAGGAAGGGGUGUGUGUUAAUAGUACACACCUUUGACGUUACUCGCAGAAGAAGCACCGGCUAACUCUGUGCCAGCCGCCGCAGUAACAC
rnacentral:rRNA from 1 species